GUGGAGGGCCGGACGGCCGCUGCGGCGGGCAACCGCCGGAGAGGAAAGUCCGGACUCACUGAAGCAUCGGUGCCGGGUAACGCCCGGGCAGGGCAACCUGACGGAAAGCGCCACAGAAAACAGACCGCCGCCCAUCGGGCGGUAAGGGUGAAACGGUGGGGUAAGAGCCCACCGGGGGGCUGGCAACAGCGCCCGCAUGGCAAGCCCCACCGGGAGCAAUGCCGCAUAGGGACCCCGCGCGGGGCAUGAUCCCUUCGGGGAUAUCGCCGCAGGGCCGCUUCAGCCCGAGGGGUCCGGGUUGGCAGCUUGAGCCACAUGGCAACAUGUGGCCUAGAGGAAUGGUCGUCUGAGGAUGGGGUGACCCAUCCGACAACAGAAUCCGGCUUACAGGCCCUCCACGCAA
rnacentral:RNase_P_RNA from 1 species